CAUGUGUGAGUGUUAGUGUGUGAGUGUUAGUGUGUGAGUGUUAGUGUGAGGGUUAGAGUGUGUGUGUCUGCUAGUGAGUGUUAGUGUUAGAGUGAGUGUUAGUGUGUGUGUGUGUCUGCUAGUGAGUGUUAGUGUGAGUGUUAGAGUGAGAGUGUGUGUGUCUGCUAGUUAGUGUGAGUGUUAGUGUGAGUGUUAGUGUGUGUGAGUGUUAGAGUGAGCGUUAGUGUG